AUCAGCAGGUGCCUUGCAGGUGUGGCUGCUGUGUCAGGUGUGCAUCAGCAGGUGAAGGAAAGGAGAGAGGACAUGUCUAUGCUCAGUGUUCUGACCUGUGGACAUCUGAACAAUUAGUACCCUGACCAC